UUAUCGAUAACAAUUGGAGGGCAAGUCUGGUGCCAGCAGCCGCGGUAAUUCCGCUCCAAUAGCGUAUAUCAACGUUGUUGCAGUUAAAAAGCUCGUAGUUGAAGUUUAGAUAAUUUAUUGAAAGUGUUUGUAUUCGUACAUUCUACUUUUAUGUAAGUUAUCGACAUCCAGGUGGGUGCUCUGAUUCCUUCGGGGGUUAGGGUACUAGACUGGUCAUUUACUGUGAGAAAAUUAGAGUGUUUAAAGCAGACUUUUUUCAUUUUGAAUAGAUUAACAUGGAAUAAUAAAAUUGGCUUUCAUAAUCCAUUUUUUGGUUUGUUUAUUAAAGCAAGAUUAAAAGGGACAGGUGGGGGGAUUCAUAUUCAAUAGCUUGAGGGGAAAUUCUAUGAUUUAAGGAAAAAGAACUAAUGCGAAAGCAUUUACCAAGGAUGUUUUCAUUAAUUCAGAACGAAAGCUAGGG
rnacentral:rRNA from 1 species